rnacentral:rRNA from 1 species
CUACGGGUUGCUCCAGUGGGGAAUAUUGCACAAUGGGCGCAAGCCUGAUGCAGCAACGCCGCGUGAGUGAAGAAGGCCUUCGGGUCGUAAAACUCUGUCCUAAGGGAAGAAUAAUGACGGUACCUUAGGAGGAAGCCCCGGCUAACUACGUGCCAGCAGCCGCGGUAAUACGUAGGGGGCAAGCGUUAUCCGGAAUCACUGGGCGUAAAGGGUGCGUAGGCGGCCUGUCAGGUCAGAAGUGAAAGGCUAUGGCUCAACCAUAGUAAGCUUUUGAAACUGAUGGGCUUGAAUACAGGAGAGGUAAGUGGAAUUCCUAGUGUAGCGGUGAAAUGCGUAGAGAUUAGGAGGAACACCAGUGGCGAAGGCGACUUACUGGACUGUUAUUGACGCUGAGGCACGAAAGCGUGGGGAGCGAACAGGAUUAGAUACCCGAGUAGUC